AGAGAAACCACAGAGCUGCGGCUAGAGACAGACAUGCCGAAAUUUUACUGAUGAAGAAGCUGAAGAAUAGAAAGGCUAAGCUAUGGUGUUCCUGUGGGUCAAGGGGUCCCCACUCUAAGCAUGAGAUAUGUAAACCAAAGAUCCAAUGCCAAACCCAUUCUGCUGGAAAAGAUUGAAGGAUCUCGUUGAAGGAUCUUGUCAUUAUAGGACUGAUAACUCACUCCUGUUUGCAGCAUCAGGCAGUGACUAAAGACAUGGCCUGCUUUCCUUAUGAGAAACAGAGUCCUGGCGACUGAGCAACACAUUCCAUGUCUAUUUCCUCUGGCAUUAUGAGCUAAUUGUGAACUAAGUGACCAAAUCAUCCUAAUAAAAGUGACUUCUAAACGGCAAAUCAUAAA